UACGAGGGAUGCAAGCGUUAUCCGGAAUUAUUGGGCGUAAAGCGUUUGUAGGCAGGCGAGUGUGUUUAAUGUUAAAUCUUAAAGCUCAACUUUGAAAUUGCGUUAAAAACUGCUUGUCUUGAGUAUGGUAGGGGUAAAGGGAAUUCCCAGUGUAGCGGUGAAAUGCGUAGAUAUUGGGAAGAACACUAAACAGCGAAGGCACUUUACUAGGCUAAUACUGACGCUGAGAAACGAAAGGUAAGGUAGCGAAACGGAUUAGAUACCCGUGUAGUCUUACCCGUAAACUAUGGACACUAAACGGUAAAUUUUUAAUUUACUGUUAAAGCUAACGCGUUAAGUGUCCCGCCUGGGGAGUAUGCUUGCAAAAGUGAAACUCAAAGGAAUUGACGGGGGCCCGCACAAGCGGUGGAGCAUGUGGUUUAAUUCGACGGUACACGAAGAACCUUACCAGGAUUUGACAUGCUAGAUAGUUGCUUGAAAGAGUAGCGUGCCGUAAGGAAUCUAGACACAGGUGGUGCAUGGCUGUCGUCAGUUCGUGUUGUGAAAUGUUGGGUUAAGUCCCGCAACGAACGCAACCCUUGUCUUUAGUUAUUUUCUAAAGAGACUGCCUGUAAUAAACAGGAGGAAGGUAAGGAUGAGGUCAAGUCAUCAUGCCCCUUAUGUCCUGGGCUACACACGUGCUACAAUGGGAAAGACAAUGAGCUGCAAAUCUGUAAAUUUAAGCAAAUCUCUUAAACUUUCUCGUAGUUCGGAUUGUGGGCUGCAACUCGCCCACAUGAAGUUGGAAUCGCUAGUAAUCGCCAGUCAGCUAUAUGGCGGUGAAUCCGUUCCCGGGCCU
rnacentral:rRNA from 1 species